rnacentral:rRNA from 1 species
AACGAACGCUGGCGGCGUGCUUAAUACAUGCAAGUUGUGCGAGAAAGCGGGGGCAACCCCGCAAGUAAAGCGGCGCACGGGUGAGUAACACGUAAGUAACCUGCCUUCAAGUUCGGGAUAACCCUGCCAACGCGGGGCUAAUACCGGAUGUGAUCCCGGAGUCGAGUGGCUCUGGGAUUAAAGCUGACCUCUACUUGUAAGUUUGCGCUUGAAGAUGGACUUGCGCACCAUUAGCUAGUUGGUAGGGUAACGGCCUACCAAGGCUGUGAUGGUUAGCCGACCUGAGAGGGCGAUCGGCCACAUUGGGACUGAGAUACGGCCCAGACUCCUACGGGAGGCAG